rnacentral:lncRNA from 1 species
AUGGGCAAUCACUUUGUUCGAACACCAAAACGUUACGUCAUUGGUUUUAAUUUCAAUUGUUUGGAACGUUUUAAACGAAUCACAAAGUGUUGGUGUACACUUUUGGAAAUAUUAUCCAGGAUACAUUAGAUACUGAAACGACAAAAUUAUGAAUGCAUUGUGCGCUUAUUUCAGAUAUCAAAACAACCGUACAUGUUACCCUCUUUGACAAC